rnacentral:tRNA from 1 species
AAGAGAUUGUUGCAACUAAAAGGAGCUGCUAACUACCUUUUAAAGCGGUUAAAAUCCGUUUAACUCUUA